rnacentral:pre_miRNA from 1 species
AAAGCGUGUGGAUGACGUUAAGCACCAGGGACAGGUAUGUUAACCUGCGAGUGGAUGGCGUUCAGCACCAUGGGCAAGAAUGUUAACAU